rnacentral:rRNA from 1 species
UACAGAGGGUGCAAGCGUUAAUCGGAAUUACUGGGCGUAAAGCGCACGUAGGCGGUUUUUUAAGUCACAUGUGAAAGCCCCGGGCUCAACCUGGGAAUUGCAUUUGAAACUGGGAAACUAGAGUGUGUGAGAGGGGGGUAGAAUUCCAAGUGUAGCGGUGAAAUGCGUAGAGAUUUGGAGGAAUACCAGUGGCGAAGGCGGCCCCCUGGCACAACACUGACGCUCAGGUGCGAAAGCGUGGGGAGCAAACAGG